GAAGGAUCAUUAAAGUUUGCUUAAUUGCAUUACACAUGUUUUUUUAGAGAACUUGCUUGCAAGAACACUAAUAAUUUACUUAGUCAACAAAUAAAAAUAUCAAAACUUUCAACAACGGAUCUCUUGGUUCUCGCAUCGAUGAAGAACGCAGCGAAAUGCGAUACGUAAUAUGAAUUGCAGAUUUUCGUGAAUCAUCGAAUCUUUGAACGCACAUUGCGCCCUGUGGUAUUCCACAGGGCAUGCCUGUUUGAGCGUCAUUUCUCCCUCAAACCUCUGGUUUGGCGUUGAGUGAUACUCGGUUUACUUGAAAAACAUGAAAAGCAUAACUAUUAGGUUUUACCAACUCGUUAUACUAAUCUACAAGUUUGACCUCAAAUCAGGUAGGACUACCCGCUGAACUUAA
rnacentral:rRNA from 1 species